rnacentral:rRNA from 1 species
AACGCUACUGGCGUGCCUAAUUCAUGCAAGUCGCGCGAACAGAAGGGAGCUUGCUCCCGGAUGUUAGCGGCGGACGGGUGAGUAACACGUGGGUAACCUGCCUGUAAGACUGGGAUAACUCCGGGAAACCGGAGCUAAUACCGGAUAGUUCCUUGAACCGCAUGGUUCAAGGAUGAAAGACGGUUUCGGCUGUCACUUACAGAUGGACCCGCGGCGCAUUAGCUAGUUGGUGGGGUAAUGGCUCACCAAGGCGACGAUGCGUAGCCGACCUGAGAGGGUGAUCGGCCACACUGGGACUGAGACACGGCCCAGACUCCUACGGGAGGCAGCAGUAGGGAAUCUUCCGCAAUGGACGAAAGUCUGACGGAGCAACGCCGCGUGAGUGAUGAAGGUUUUCGGAUCGUAAAGCUCUGUUGUUAGGGAAGAACAAGUGCGAGAGUAACUGCUCGCACCUUGACGGUACCUAACCAGAAAGCCACGGCUAACUACGUGCCAGCAGCCGCGGUAAUACGUAGGUGGCAAGCGUUGUCCGGAAUUAUUGGGCGUAAAGGGCUCGCAGGCGGUUUCUUAAGUCUGAUGUGAAAGCCCCCGGCUCAACCGGGGAGGGUCAUUGGAAACUGGGAAACUUGAGUGCAGAAGAGGAGAGUGGAAUUCCACGUGUAGCGGUGAAAUGCGUAGAGAUGUGGAGGAACACCAGUGGCGAAGGCGACUCUCUGGUCUGUAACUGACGCUGAGGAGCGAAAGCGUGGGGAGCGAACAGGAUUAGAUCCCCUGGUAGUCCACGCCGUAAACGAUGAGUGCUAAGUGUUAGGGGGUUUCCGCCC